rnacentral:rRNA from 2 species
UGAGGAAUAUUGGUCAAUGGUCUGACGACUGAACCAGCCAUGCCGCGUGAAGGUCACGGCCCUAUGGGUCUUAAACUUCUUUUGUAAGGGAGCAAUAAGUCUCACGUGUGGGAUGAUGAGAGUACCUUACGAAUAAGCAUCGGCUAACUCCGUGCCAGCAGCCGCGGUAAUACGGGGGAUGCAAGCGUUAUCCGGAUUUAUUGGGUUUAAAGGGUGCGUAGGCGGCUUGGUAAGUCAGCGGUGAAAUUUAGGGGCUCAACCUCUACCGUGCCGUUGAUACUGCUGGGCUAGAAUGCGGAUGCCGUGGGAGGAAUGUGUGGUGUAGCGGUGAAAUGCAUAGAUAUCACACAGAACACCGAUUGCGAAGGCAUCUCACGAAUCCGCUAUUGACGCUGAGGCACGAAAGCGUGGGGAUCAAACAGG